rnacentral:rRNA from 1 species
UAAAGGAAGCGAUUCCGGCUACGGAUGGUCAUGCGUCGCAUUAGCUUGUUGGCGGGGUAACGGCCCACCAAGGCGACGAUGCGUAGGGGUUCUGAGAGGAAGGUCCCCCACACUGGUACUGAGACACGGACCAGACUCCUACGGGAGGCAGCAGUGAGGAAUAUUGGUCAAUGGCCGCAGGGCUGAACCAGCCAAGUCGCGUGAGGGAUGACGGUCCUAUGGAUUGUAAACCUCUUUUGUCAGGGAGCAAAGGGCGCCACGUGUGGCGCUUUGCGAGUACCUGAAGAAAAAGCAUCGGCUAACUCCGUGCCAGCAGCCGCGGUAAUACGGAGGAUGCGAGCGUUAUCCGGAUUUAUUGGGUUUAAAGGGUGCGCAGGCGGAAUGUCGAGUCAGCGGUAAAAUUUCGGGGCUCAACCCCGUCGUGCCGUUGAAACUGGCGUUCUUGAGUGAGCGAGAAGUAUGCGGAAUGCGUGGUGUAGCGGUGAAAUGCAUAGAUAUCACGCAGAACUCCGAUUGCGAAGGCAGCAUACCGGCGCUCAACUGACGCUCAUGCACGAAAGCGUGGGUAUCGAACAGGAUUAGAUACCCUGGUAGUCCACGCAGUAAACGAUGAAUACUAACUGUCCGGGCAGAAUGAUGCCUGG